ensembl:lncRNA
CGUGAAGCGGAGGUAUCUUGCUUCGCCCUGAAGGGUGACAUUCUAUACAUUAUUAUUACACGGCUCCUUGCCAUAAUAAAACAAUAUCUUCACACGGUGUGUCUUUAAGUUAGUUUUCUCUCUGUGAGGAACAAGAUGUGAGGGUCUGGUCUGAGGAGAGGGUCUGGUCUGGGGGGUCUGGUCUGAGGAGAGGGUCUGGUCUGGGGGGUCUGGUCUGGGGGUCUGGUCCGGGGGUCUGGUCUG